ensembl:lncRNA
GUGUACUUUUGCCCACUCCGUGAUUUAAAACCUGCUUUUCAGUGAAGCGUGGUAUACUUUCUAACGUCUCAUACCAGGUCCUCUUUUCUUAGUGUCACCUGUUUGUCCCUUAUAGGUUUUGCAUUUGAGACUCUUGUUAUAACAGCUUCUUCUAUAGCAAUCUACGUUAUCUCAAAUGUAAGUCCCCCCCACCCCAUUUUAAGGUGCUUUCCCCAAAGUAACACAUUUUAGAAGCAAAACAAAAAAUACUCAUUUUGCACUCAGUAAUUUGAUAGCUUGUAAGCUUUCCAACAGCACUGAUGGGAGGGACUGGACUAGUAAAUUCAUGGAUAAAAUUCACUCGUUUUGUGGACAGUAAGUAGAACAUCUCCCUGGCUUUAGUUCAUAACAGUGGUCUUCCAGGUGUCUUGAUGUGUUAGGGUCUCUAAGGUAUUUUGUCCCCAAGGUUAUCCUCAGAUCCCACCCUCUUUGUCCCACUCUCACUCAUUACAUCCUGCCCCAGUGGAAUAUCACAUUUAAUCUUAUAUUGCUCCUAUGAUGUGGACAGGAUGUGUCCUGUGGACUAAUGUGCCCUGACAAGAGUUUGCUCCUGGCUAAGGCUAGUCGGGACCAAAUAGUGCUGUUUGAUGGGGAAGCAGGGCAGCUGUAUUAGUCAGCUCAGGCUGCUAUGACAAAAUAGCACAGACUGGGUGGUUGAAUGGGCUUACCAGAUGGUGCUAGUGGUAAAGAACCUGCCUGCCAAUGCAAGAGACAUCAGAGACCACGUUGGAUCCCUGGGUCAGGAAGAUCUCCUGGAGGAGGGCAUGGCAACCCACUCCAGUAUUCUUGCCCGGAGAAGCCCAUGACAGAGGAGCCUGGUGGGCUAUAGCCCUUGGGAUCGCAAGGAGUUGGACAUAAGUGAAGUGACUUAGUAUGCACACACAGGUGGUUAAGUAUCAAGUGUUUAUUUCUCAGAAUUCUGGAGGUUGGGGAGUCCAAGAUCAAAGUGUCGGCAAAUUCAGUACCUGGUGAGAGCUCUCUAUCCAGCUUGUAGAUAGGUCUCUUCUCACUGUGUCCUCACUUGCCCGAGAGACAGCAAUCUCUCCCUCUUUUUAUAAAGGCACUAAUCCCAUCAUGGCAGCCCCACCCUCAUGACCUCAUCUUACCCUAGUUACCUCCCCAAGGCCCCAUCUCUGAUAUCAUCACAUUGAGAGUUAGGGUUUCAACAUAUGAACUUGGUGGUGGGGGCACAAUUCAGUCCACAGAAAUGGCUUUAUCAAGACAUAGAUCAAGUGACUCUGUAUUUCUGACUUAUUUUCAUUGAUCUUGAGAUAUCAUCUCUUGUAAGAUACAUCGUUAAGAAAGAAAAAAAUCUUUUUAGAUCAUAAGAGUGUUUUCUUAGCAUUGAAACAUUUUAUACUACAUUUAUGGAAAGAAUUCUUUUAGACUCUGAUGCUGGGAAAGAUUGAAGGCAAACAGGAGACAGGGGUAGCAGAGGAUGAGAUGGUUAGAUAGUAUCACUGACUCAAUGGACAUGAAUCUGAGCAAACUCCAGGAGAUAGUGAAGGACAGGGGAGCCUGACUUGCUGCAAUCUAUGGGUCACAAAGAGUCAGACAUGACUUAGGGACUGAACAACAACAAAACUGGCUUAUUUCGACCAAUUUUUUAAAAGAAAAUCAUGUCUUCCUCCUGUGCAUACAUAAAAUGAAAAAUGUGGCAAGAAAACUGUUUAAGAUUCCAGCUUUCCUAAAUCACGUUUCAAUCAGAAUUGUCGUGCAUGCACUUUUCCACACCAUGCUGUCAUGCUCUGUGCCAGGAGACAGCAUUUCUUUUUAGGGGGCAUCUCUACUGUCUCUGAGUCUCUACCAAAAGAUAACAACCAGAACUAUAUUUCUUCCUCUAAUGAUUCUACCUGGAAUGCAGGUAUACCCACCAAGUGACUAAUUCUUUAGCCCUUCUGACACACGUCCACGAGUAUGUUCAGAAGCAACACUCUUGGUGGCUUCCACUGAUCUCCUGGAUAUCUGCCCAGACAACUUUCCUAUAGUCCCACCUGAACCCAAAGAGGAUCUCCCCCUGGCCUGGGGGAGCUCUUCCUCCUUUUCAUUCCUUUGAGAAGCAUGUGACUUCUCUUCUCCGGAUGUGGGGGGCUGAUUUUACAUAAUGCCUAGAACUCAAAAGAAGUGAAAAAAAUAUGAACUUCUGUGACCAAGAAGGUUCAUGGGUGGGCAAUGACAGUUAUAUCAGGACCGCCUCCCAGGCAGCAAGAGUAAGAUACCUCCCAGUGUCAGCCUGGUUAAACAGGAAAGCACUUACCCUGAGAACUCAGGAAAUAGAGUGCAUCUCUCCCACCCCACAGGGAUGCCUAAAAUCUCAGCGUUAGAGAAUGAUUUAAUUGUCUUUUAAGGCAUCAAGAGUGUUUUAGUAGAAAUUAAUGACUCUAGAGAGAGCAAUGUGUAGUUGCUGUAUUUACUGCUUUGGCAUGCAUUUCAUUCCCAUUAAGAUGAAGAAAGAGCAAGAGCCUGUGAAGAUGGGACAAGGAAUGGGAUGGGGAUGAGGAUACAGGAAUGGAAAGAGAGCAGGAAAAGAGCAAAGAAGCAACUCAACUUUCAUUCAACGAAAUUUAUCAAAUCCUUGGUCUGAACCAGGCAUCACCCUACAUCCUGACACUAAAGUGCCUGCACUUAAGGACCUACCUACCCUUCUAGUGUAGGAGACAGGCAUCGGCAACAUAUCAGGCCAACAAGUGUAAAAGUCUUACUAGAAUAAAAGCUAUAAAGUAUAGUUAUGUGUUCCCAUGACAUUGUGCUGGAAGGAUUCAGAUAAUCAAGGAAAGUCAGAGAAAGCUUCCCCGAGAAAAGGAUGCUUCAACCGAGAGGUAGUAGGAUAGGAUGUGAGUCAGUAUUUGGAGGGGUAGGAAAUGGCCAGACUGUAUCUGAGAGUUUUCAGCAGUCAGGAAGACUACAUUAACAGUAUCCUGGAGACUCAGUUGGGGAGCUUCAGAGUGAAUGUGAGUGAGCCUAAGAAAGGGGUCUAGGGAAAGAUGAUGGCUCAAGGUACUAGUAUCACGGAGGUGGAGAGAAAGCAAGGUGGAUGGCUUUUAGUUGUAUUUCAGAGGUGAAAUAGAUAUGUAUUGGUAAUGAAUGGGACAAGAGCAAUGAUGAGGGAUUGGGAAGUGUCAUGACAAACUCUCAGGAAUCUGGUCCACAAAAUUAGAGAAAUAAGUGUUGUCAUUAAUGAUGUAGAGAGCAGUGAAAGUUGACCUGAUUUGAGGGUAGAGAGGAAUUGUUUGUAGUCUGAAGAAGUAGAAAAUAAGUCUAGCUCAUCCAUUUACUAGCGUUGUGAUACUAAGUUUCUCUGAACCUCAGUUCUUCCAUCUUUAAAAAUGAAGCCAUAAACAUUCACCUCACAGGGUUGCUGGGACAAUCAACAUAACUUCAUACGUGGUUGAAGUUCCUUCCUACAUAAGUUACUAUGAUCACUCCAGAACUGAGCAGCAGUGAAGCCUAGAGGCAGAGUGGCUAUUUUCAAGAACUUUCUAGGAGGUGGGGUGGUGUGUAGGAGUUUUGACAGCUGAGAUCUCAGGACUCUGUAAGUUUACCUUAGUGGAGUUUCUCCUUGUUGAUAAUGUACAGGGCAGCUAUUAGCUUCAUUUGUCUGGUGAAUUCCUUCUAUUUUGUUCCCACCCCCUCUCCUCCUCUCUUUCAGCCUGGAUCAAGGGAACCC